AGCGGCUUGCGGAAGGGAGUGUCUAAAACACACAUUUAGUUUUGGGGAGAAUAAUAAUAAUAUUAUUAAUAUUAAUAAUAAUCUGCAUAAACUUAAGAGGCACGGCGACAGCUGUGUCAACUGCAGCGGGGGACGGUGGCGGUGGACCCCAGUGGAGGCUGUUGUAAGCAGGCUUCAGCUGUGGUGUGGUUUUGACAACCUGUCUUGACACAUUUUGUUUCUAUCUUGGCAAGUGAGGUGGCUCGAAAGCCAUUACUUGAGUUUCAGUUUAGGAAGAGGACGGUGGUGGAGUGUGAAUUACCUCCUUUCAUUUUAACUCCUGCGAUCCCUGGCACCUGGCAGUGGCUGGAGGCCCAGAAGACUGUUUCGGUGUCGUUCCUGACCCUCCCGCGAUGCCCAGGUCCAGGAAGAGCAAUCAUUUCUGUGAAGUGCAGUAUGUGGUCAGCGCCAAGUCCUUGCAGUCCUGAGACUCCUGGGACUAGGAAAGUUUCCUAUCAUGGUGCAGCAGCUUAGGAUGUCACUUUUAAUGGUGGAUGAAAGGGAGAUGUGCAAGGAAAACUGGAAUUUCAAAAUGAUUUAAUAAACAUGGUAAGGUUACAGAGAUCGUAGCAGAUGAAACAGAUAAGAGCAUAUUCCACUGCUGAAAACACAUAUUUGUGUUCUUAACCUACUACUUUAGAAAGGCCUAAACAACCCAAGAAUACUGUAUACAAACUCAUAUUGCUUUAGCUAUAGAAGAGAUGGUUUGUUAUGUGUUGUGUGUACUUCGUAAAACUCACUGUUCACUGGUGAGAGAAUGAGAGUAAAAAAAAUGAAAAAGCCAAAUAAUGUGAUUAUAUAUAUAUAUAUAUAUAUAUAUAUAUAUAAAUGAUAUAUGUAUUUUUUUCAGCACUGAGGAUAGAACCAGGACCUCACAGGUGCUAGGCAAGCCCUGUGACCACUGAGCUACCUUCUCAGCUGUUAUUCUUUUUUGAGACAGAAAUCUCAGUAAGUUACACAGGCUGGCCUUGAACUCUCGACUGUCCUGUGUCAGCCUCCUGAGCAGCCGGUAUUACAGGUGUGAGCCAUGGCACUGGACUGAACAGCACCUUAUGUAUGAGGUUUUGACCUUGUUGACUCUGCAUAGGUGUUGGAGACCCCCCUGCACUUCCGGUCCCUUCUUGAGUUUAAUAUUUUUAAAAACUAACUUCACAAUCAUACUUGAUUAGGAAAAAACACCUAAAUAGAAUAUGUUUUCAGACUUGCAAUAUGAUGCAGCAGGAUGAUGCUGUAGCACUAGAGGAUGAACUUUAAGGCAGUUUUCAGCACAUUCUGCGUGUGUCUAACGCACUUUCAUCAGAGUUCUUUUUAUCUUAGACAUCCACAAUGAAGUGGAGGCUGGUAGGGGUGAGAGGGGGCAGUGGUCGAGAUGAGAGGUCAUCACUGAGUGGCUCAAAAGCCAGGCAAAGAUAACGACCAGCUUGGGUCAUUUCCCCUGUCAGAACCCGGGAGUCAGUGGCAGAGGACAGCCUGCAGGCCCUGAGCUGUCUCAUGCCUGUGAGCCAUUUCGGGAGGCAGAACCCAUGAGCAGAUGCUCCUGGUACUCAGAGCAGGUGGUGGUAGAGCCAAAAGAUGGGUGCAGAGGAAAAGGGAAAGGGUGCAUUUAAAGGGCUGGAGGGUGCAGAGUAGGGUGCUGUGGUCAUGAACUGCAUAAAAGGAGGACAGCUGAGAGCACUUCUGCAGGCUGCCUACCGCUACAGGUUUCUACCUAGCUGGACUUUUUCUCCAUGACGCCUACACCCAACAGAGGGCGCUGUUCUCUCACCGAUUAUGUAAAUUGAGCUACUUUAAAAAUGCCUGGCGCAGAGCUAUUCACUUCUUCAAAUCUAAUGACUUCACCAUACAGAGAAACAGGCUAGGGGGUAGCUCACGCUUACCGUGCGCGAGAUCCUGGGUUUGACCCUCAGCACCACAAAGAAAAAAAAGCAGACAACCUAAAAGGAUGGACAUAUAGAUAAAUACUGCAUAGAAAUAAAAUGGUUUUUUUUUUACUGAUUCAAAUGUCAUCUGUCACCUAAAUCCUAGCGAAUCAGGUAUUAUCUCUCACAGUCAGACGUAUAUUUUACCGUACUGCACUCGGAGGAGAAAGUGGCAAUUAUAAAACUCGUGUAAAAUGUUUGUUUUUCUAAAUCAACGGAAACAGAUAGCAUACUGUCAUCUGUGUGUCAUUCAGUGCGUAUCUGGUACCUGCCACUUCCAAGACAUCCUGUAGUUCAUUGCAAGGGUACAAAACGGGUCACUGUCACCUCCCUAUAGCAUGGAGGAGUGGCAAGGGCCACAGGGGAGCUUGAGACCACUCUUUAUGGAUCAAAUAAUACCACCAGCUAAUUACUGAGUUCUACUAUAGGCUGGAAGCUGUUCUUAAGGUACACCUCACUUAAAAUUCACUAGGAUCUUGGAAGCUUAGGUACAGUGAUUUGCACUGUAAAGACCAUGGAGUAGUUUCUCUGGAGUCACACGUUCCAGCAGGGGACUCUAGCUCAGGUGAUCAGAAGGGGAGUCAUCUUCGAGGUACAGCUGGAAGGGAGGUACUGUUUGGGCAUGAAGUCCAAUCUCCACUCCUGCAAAAUGGGGAUAAUGAUUGUAUUUACUUCAUGUGUUUUAAUGAAAAUAAAUAUUUUAAAGUAUUCAGGGAAGUGCCUGAAACUACAGGCUGGCUGUGGGUAUUGGCCAUUAUUAUGGCUAUUAUUACUUUUAAGUAAUAGUGACAGGAAAGGGCGUCUUGAUCUGAGUAACACCAGAGACAACAAAAAGCGUCUUCCUUAGGGAACUCAGGAGGCAUGGACAAGCCGGCUGAAAUGCUGUAUAGGAGGAAGCAAAAAGACAGGGAAGUGAUUAUGGGAAAAUCUAUCUUCUCCAGGAGGUGUUCCUUGAUUGCCUGAACAGGUCUGCUCUCUGCACUUACCCAUAUUCCUCUCCUCCUCUAAUGUUGCAUUUGCAACAUUUGGUUCCAUUAGGAUCCAUUUGGCCUGUUAUGGGUUUAGAAUCUCAGUAGGCACAGGGAGUGUAAGGCAAAAAGAAAGGGUGGCCGUGUCAGGCAGAGGGGUAGGCAGGGGCAGUGUCGGUUCAUGCAGCGGGAUGGGCCGAAUGGCAGUAAGAUCCAUGGUUUGAGCACUUGGGAGGGGUCCAGGGAGGGUACAGGGACCUCAGGGAAGCCUGGGACCACAGUCUGGACAUAGGUAAGUAGGCUUUAUUUUCCUGCAUGUUUUUGCCCCCAGUUUGAAAAAGCAGAGGUCAGCUAUGGAGGUUCACCUUCUACACCAUGAGUGAGUACAGCCACGUUCCCAAGGUGAAGAGGUCCCUCUUCAUGGCACCUCGUGCCUUCUCGUCAUGUUUCUUGGCCCUUCACAUUGAUUCAAAGCUUCUGAUUCAAUGAUCUCUCUGUAGGUGUGACAUUGCAUAAGGAGACUUAUUUCCAACUAAGCUAAGAGGGGAUAAGAAGCAGAAGAAAGGAGGACUGCAUGAAAUACAGGAGUGAGGGCAGGCUGGAGAGAGAAUCUGUUUCUGGAAGCUUCUGUGGGUCUUCAUGGUUUGUCAGGGCCCCGCAGGAGAGGGAGUCCAUCAGAGCGGGCUGCCACACUUUCCUCCAUGUCUCCCCUUCGAGGCCCUUCACCCCCACCCAUCAGCUGCAGUGCCCUCUGCUGUCUAUAUAUUUACCAAAAUGGAGUUUUCCAAGCUAAUCCACUGUGUUCGUACAGAAAGGUAAGUGAAGUGAAUUCACUUUUGCCAUCAAAUAUUCCGCAUCAUAAUGGAAUCUUUUUCCUCAAAACAGUAUCGCGCUUACUAUGGAGCAUUUAAAGCUGUCGAAGAGGAGCCCGACGACCUCCUAGCCUUGCGUUUUCUCUCUGUGAUUUCAAUCGUGGACCCUUGGAUCUUUAUCAUUUUCAGAACUUCAGUAUUUCGGAUGUUUUUU